UACGAAGGGGGCUAGCGUUGCUCGGAAUCACUGGGCGUAAAGGGUGCGUAGGCGGGUCUUUAAGUCAGGGGUGAAAUCCUGGAGCUCAACUCCAGAACCUGCCUUUGAUACUGAGGAUCUUGAGUUCGGGAGAGGUGAGUGGAACUGCGAGUGUAGAGGUGAAAUUCGUAGAUAUUCGCAAGAACACCAGUGGCGAAGGCGGCUCACUGGCCCGAUACUGACGCUGAGGCACGAAAGCGUGGGGAGCAAACAGGG
rnacentral:rRNA from 1 species